UUAAAGGCUCUUUUCAGAGCCACCCAUGUCUGCACUGAAAGAACUGU
rfam:Mesocricetus auratus contig191432, whole genome shotgun sequence.